rnacentral:rRNA from 1 species
GACGAACGCUGGCGGCGUGCCUAAUACAUGCAAGUAGAACGCUGAAGAGAGGAGCUUGCUCUUCUUGGAUGAGUUGCGAACGGGUGAGUAACGCGUAGGUAACCUGCCUGGUAGCGGGGGAUAACUAUUGGAAACGAUAGCUAAUACCGCAUGAUAUUAAUUGUCGCCUGAUAAUUAAUUGAAAGAUGCAAUUGCAUCACUACCAGAUGGACCUGCGUUGUAUUAGCUAGUUGGUGAGGUAACGGCUCACCAAGGCGACGAUACAUAGCCGACCUGAGAGGGUGAUCGGCCACACUGGGACUGAGACACGGCCCAGACUCCUACGGGAGGCAGCAGCUAGGGAAUCUUCGGCAAUGAGGGGAACCCUGACCGAGCAACGCCGCGUGAGUGAAGAAGGUUUUCGGAUCGUAAAGCUCUGUUGUAAGAGAAGAACGGGUGUGAGAGUGGAAAGUUCACACUGUGACGGUAUCUUACCAGAAAGGGACGGG